UUUACUAAAAUUCUUAACUUGAUGCUGUGUCGCUAACGGCCGUUUUCAAUAACCUAUCUAUCCCUAGUUUCGGUUACUAAAGAUAGACAAAUCUAUAUUUUUGUCCUUACUUACGUUCCAAUAACCUAUCGACGGGCAGCAGUUCCUAUCGGAUUUAUCUAUCCAUCGUCGGGAGGACGGAUAGCCUGCUAAAGAUAGAACGUUCAUACAAAUCGUGCUUACUUCCGUUUCAAUAUGAGUUUUAAGUAACUCUCCGGUAGGCAGCGCUAUCUCUAGUAUGGGCAUUCGCUUAUCUGUCAAAAUCGGCCGGUUACAUGUUUAUCUUUCGAAAGUAAAUCGCUAUAAUUUAAUAAUUGUUUCUCUUCAUAUUGGCAUAUUGUAGCAGUGAUGAUAGUGAUAUGGAAUUAUUUCAAAUGAUAAUGGAUUAUGAUGCAGAUAGUGAUAGUGAGGCCGAUAUCAUAUGGUUAGGAAAAUAAAGAUCGUCUGAAUUACAUGGCGAAGAUCAAUAAUUACGAAUUUGACUAUAGAUUUCUGAGCAAAGGUGUUGUGAAUGAAUUGAUUAAUUUAAUGAGACCAUAUUUGAGUGUAACGUCAAAAAGGUAAGAUAAAUUUUAACCAUAAAAGUACUCGUUAUUACAACUUAUAUUUGUUUAUAGCAAUAGCAAAAUUAUACCUAAUUUUUGUUGUGUUACAAAAUCACACUCAACAGGAAUUCUAUAAUACUGCUGGAUUCCCAUGGUGCCCUAAAUGACAUUCAUAUACUAAUACAAUAACCUGGUAGGCUAUUUACCUUCAUUCUUAUUACACACUGAUACCUCUACAUUUUAUAUUUGUGUUACAGAUUCAAAUAUAGGAGAGGAAUUUAGAAAUAGAAAAAGAGUAUUUUGAAUGUGCAAUUUGUGUGCAAUGCAUCAUUGAUGUUUCAAAAUGUUGUUGCUUGAUGGCCUGGGUCUACUCAUGAUACAACUAUAAUUAACCAUUCCGAUUGAAAAGAUGCAUUGGUAUUUGUAAAAGAAGACUCCCUGUAUAUCAUUGAAAAGUAGAUUAAAACUAGAAAAUAUGCAAGCUGUUAUUAUAGCUGCCAUGCUGCAUAAUAUCGUCAGAAGUAUGAAUUUAGAAGAAUUAGAAUUAGAAAUUUCAGUCGCAGAUACAUUACAGGAAAAUAAUAUAAUUGUUCGUAACAAUUUUUCAAAACUUACAUCUGAAAUACAACUAUGUACUUAUAAAUAAUUGCUUCCAAAGAUAAUUUAUAAAAUAAACUCCAAAGAUAA